GCCACAGAGAUGCACCUUUGUUUUUAAAAAAGAACAGAUCAGAAAGACAAAGCCCUGUGCCUAACGGAGUAGACAUGAGGAUGUUUAUAAAAGUGUGUCUAGAAGGAAGGAUCAACCAAAGUAUUGUUUAGCUGUAAAGAAAGGUGGUCAUGCUUUCUUAGGCUACUUACUGUUAUCAUUGGAGUGAGAGAAAAUGAGGAGACAUGGUAGAAGUCGGAGUAUCUUAAUGUGAUUUGCCAAGAGAACCCUUGGAGAAGACCCAGUCCAAUGACAGAUACUCAGGCAACUGAGUUCCAGGUUCUGAGGACUGUGUGCAGCAUGGUCACCGGUCACGUGCCAGAGAGGCUGCAAAGGAUGUCUCCAGUGACUCUGCUCGUCGCAUGUGUGAUGUACAAUGGUGACAGUCCUAUUGUUCAACUGACAGCAGUGGUUUAGGAAGGCACUGAGAGAACACCCAGAGAAGGGGAGCUGCUUCUGCAAACCCAGAAUGUGAUGCUCUUUCCUAACAAACAAGGGAUUCAGAAAAUGUGAAGAGGUUGUAACCACAUGUGAACCAUGCCCAAGUGAUGUGUGAAAAACAGCUUCCUCCCAGGCCAGUCUGGAAUGUGACAUCAUCAAAAAGUGACUUUGUUUGGUACGAGACCACUGCAGCUCCAUAUCUGUAAGCUCCAGGACCAAUAUGGAAGUCAGUUUCUAGAAGCAAUGUUGCGAUAUUGAAAAAGUUUAAAGCACGUGGCUCUAGCUGACAGUUAGGGUGUCAACAGCAAGGUCACAGCCCUGGAGGCCAGGAAACAGGGGUGUUGGGGAUCAUUGUUACACAAAAGCAGACUUUCUAAUCAGACUCCCAUGUGUCAAAAUACCCCAAGAAAAAGACUGGCUGACAGUCAGUUCUUAGCUCUAAGGAAAGAAGAGGGGGACUGAAUGUCCCUAACUAUACUGGUUGAUAUUUAUUCCAUUUGGCCAAGUGUUAAAAGAGAAAAGAAAAAGAAAAAGAGAAGGAGGCAGAGACUAGAUGGACAGGGAGAAGGAAAUGGGGACAAAGAGGAAAGAAGGAGAGGGAGAGAAAGAACUUUCAAGAAGCAGGGCAAAGAAAUAACAGGUGUCUAAAAACUUGAUGCACAAAAGAGGACUUCCAGAACUGCUUCAAAAAGUGGCAAAAGGGCCAGGGAUUUG